rnacentral:rRNA from 1 species
GACGAACGCUGGCGGCAUGCCUAACACAUGCAAGUCGAGCGAGCUGAUCCCUUCGGGGUGAAGCUAGCGGCGGACGGGUGAGUAACACGUGGGCAACCUGCCUCAUAGAGGGGAAUAGCCUUCCGAAAGGAAGAUUAAUACCGCAUAAGACUGUAGCUUCGCAUGAAGCAGCAAUUAAAGGAGCAAUCCGCUAUGAGAUGGGCCCGCGGCGCAUUAGCUAGUUGGUGAGGUAACGGCUCACCAAGGCGACGAUGCGUAGCCGACCUGAGAGGGUGAUCGGCCACAUUGGGACUGAGACACGGCCCAGACUCCUACGGGAGGCAGCAGUGGGGAAUAUUGCACAAUGGGGGAAACCCUGAUGCAGCAAUGCCGCGUGAGUGAUGACGGCCUUCGGGUCGUAAAGCUCUGUCUUCGGGGACGAUAAUGACGGUACCCGAGGAGGAAGCCACGGCUAACUACGUGCCAGCAGCCGCAGUAA